rnacentral:tRNA from 1 species
GCCCUUGUAGUUCAGUGGUAAGAAUAAUCGGCUGUUAACCGAUAGACGAAGGUUCAAUUCCUUCCGAGGGCG